AGCGGUAACAGGGGGUGCUUGCACCCCGCUGACGAGCGGCGGACGGGUGAGUAAUGCUUAGGAAUCUGCCCAGUAGUGGGGGAUAGCCCGGGGAAACCCGGAUUAAUACCGCAUACGUCCUACGGGAGAAAGCAGGGGAUCUUCGGACCNNGCGCUUACGGGANGAGCCUAAGUCGGAUUAGCUAGUUGGUGGGGUAAAGGCCUACCAAGGCGACGAUCCGUAGCUGGUCUGAGAGGAUGAUCAGCCACAUCGGGACUGAGACACGGCCCGAACUCCUACGGGAGGCAGCAGUGGGGAAUAUUGGACAAUGGGGGCAACCCUGAUCCAGCCAUGCCGCGUGUGUGAAGAAGGCUUUCGGGUUGUAAAGCACUUUCAGCGAGGAGGAAGGCUCUGAAGUUAAUACCUUCAGGGAUUGACGUUACUCGCAGAAGAAGCACCGGCUAACUCCGUGCCAGCAGCCGCGGUAAUACGGAGGGUGCAAGCGUUAAUCGGAAUUACUGGGCGUAAAGCGCGCGUAGGUGGUUAGGUAAGCGAGAUGUGAAAGCCCCGGGCUUAACCUGGGAACGGCAUUUCGAACUGUCUGACUAGAGUGUGGNANANGGNNNNNNGGAAUUUCCUGUGUAGCGGUGAAAUGCGUAGANNUAGGAAGGAACACCAGUGGCGAAAGCGGCUACCUGGACCAACACUGACACUGAGGUGCGAAAGCGUGGGGAGCAAACAGNAUUAGAUACCCUGGUAGUCCACGCCGUNNNGAUGUCAAC
rnacentral:rRNA from 1 species